AUUGAACGCUGGCGGUAUGCCUAACACAUGCAAGUCGAACGAGGUAGCAAUACCUAGUGGCGGACGGGUGAGGAAUACGUAGGGAUCUGCCCUUAAGUGGGGGAUAACCCGGGGAAACCCGGAUUAAUACCGCAUGAUCUCGCAAGAGCAAAGAGGGGGACCGCAAGGCCUCUCGCUUUUGGAGGAACCUACGUCGGAUUAGCUAGUUGGUGAGGUAAUGGCUCACCAAGGCGACGAUCCGUAACUGGUCUGAGAGGAUGAUCAGUCACACCGGAACUGAGACACGGUCCGGACUCCUACGGGGGGCAGCAGUGGGGAAUAUUGGACAAUGGGCGAAAGCCUGAUCCAGCAAUACCGCGUGUGUGAAGAAGGCCUUCGGGUUGUAAAGCACUUUAAGUUGGGAAGAAAAAGCUUCACCUAAUACGUGAAGCCUUGACGGUACCGACAGAAUAAGCACCGGCUAACUCUGUGCCAGCAGCCGCGGUAAUACAGAGGGUGCUAGCGUUAAUCGGAUUUACUGGGCGUAAAGCGUGCGUAGGUGGUUUGAUAAGUCGAUUGUGAAAGCCCCGGGCUUAACCUGGGAAUUGCGGUCGAUACUGUCAGACUCGAAAACGGUAGAGGGAGGUGGAACUCCAGGU
rnacentral:rRNA from 1 species